UAGCUACAAAGUCAAUUAUUUGUACUAUUAAUGAAAUACUUAAGUUUGAAUUAAAAGACCUGCUUAAAAACGGUUUGAAUGAAAAAGAUAUAAUAAAUGCAAUCGAGUUUGUAAACGAUAAGCUAGCUUUAUUAAACAAUUUUAUUAAUAAAAUCGUUAAAGAAAAAUACGAAUAUUUUUAUACAUAUAUUGACAAAUUAAGUAAAAUAAAAAAAACAACAGAAUGGAAUUCAUACGAUAUUGCACAUAUUGAAGAAAAGUAUAACAUAAGUUAUAAAGAAUUAAAAGAAAAAGAAAAGAAAAUAAUUUCGUUAAUUAAUGAAAAAAAAUGUUUAAUCCAGGUAGAAAAAAUUAUAAGAUUAUAUGAAAUUUUAGAUAUAGAAGUUAAAAAAAUAAGCGAUGAAAUAAAAGAGCAGAUAAAUUUAGAUGAUGUUCAUUUGAUUCAAUUGAAUAAAUACACGAAAGGUGUAACGUCAUGUAUGAUCGAUAUAACACAAACUAGUACCAACAAAAACGCCCAAUUCGAACUGAUUGACAAACAAAAUGACAACAACAUCAGUAAUUUGCAUAUUAGUAAUAUACAUAUAAAUAGCACAAAUGGAAGUUCCAACUUGAUUGUUACUAGUACUACUACUGACGACAUUAGCUCCUUUGUACACCUAAACUUUAAUAGUUUGGUUAAAUUUAUAAAAAAAAUAAAUUCUUUACAAAAGUUUAUUUCAUAUUAUCAUAUUUCUAAUGUUAGUAUAAUUAAAUUAAAAAUAAAUAAACUUAAAUUUUAUGAAAAGUGUAUUAUAGAAAUAGGUAUAGAUUAUUUGUCUAAAAAUUUUUUUUUGGAUGAUAAUUAUGAAAGUAAGGUAAAAUGUUGCUUAGAUAUUUUCUUUUACUUAAAUGUAGAGGAAAGUUGUUUAUUACAAGUAGUGCAAAAUAAAAUAAAUAAAGUUAACUCGUACAUUUAUGAUAUAAAAAGUGACAGCAAUAGUAACCAUAAGAAUAUCAAAAAUUGUUAUUUUUUAAUUUUGCAAACUUGUAAAAAUGGAAUUGAUGAACUUUGUUAUAUAAACGAAGUUAUAAAAAUAAAACACAUUGAUGAAAUGGUAAUGAUGAUAAGUGAGACAGAAGAAGAAUUGUUUUUAUCAGGUGACGAGAAAGAAAAUAAAGAAACUGGUGGGUCCAGUGAAAAAAAAAGAAAAACAAAAAAAAAUAACUACAAUAGCGUUAGUAAAGAUCAUAAAACAAAGACAAAACCCUUGAGUAUAGAUAUAUAUAUCGAAUUUUAUCUACCUUAUAUAACUAUAUUAAAAAAUAACAAAAUAAACGAGUUUGUAAAAAAAAAAGAAGAUAUGUUGUAUGUGUUAAAUUUAUGCGAAGAGUUUAUAAAUAUAAUUAUAAAUAAAGUAAAUUACAAAUCCAAUGAAAAAGACAUAUUAUUAAAUUUAUUUAAUAAAGAAUAUGAAGAAAUAACAUUCAAUUCUUUUAAUAUACUUGUAAAUCAAGUUCAAUUUUUAUUUCAAAAAAUGAAUAUAAUAAUACCUAGUAAUUCAGAUUAUGAAGAUGUUUAUAGUCAUAAUUUACCAACAGUUUCAGAUAUCCAAAAAUAUGUAGAGGCAUUUUAUAAUGAGUUGUAUACAUAUAUAUUUUACCCUUAUAUUUUUACAAGAAUUAUAGGUACUUGUAACAAUUCUUUAUUGUUAUUAAGUAAUAAUUUAAAUAAUUUAAAAAAAAAAUUGAAUCUUCGCAUUGAUGUAGAUACAAAAAAUAAACAGAUAACUAUUGAUUACACAUAUAAAAAUUUUAAAUUUAAUUUGGAAUUAUUUUUAAUUAGUAAACAACUGUUGAUUUACUUGAUAAAUAGUUUAAAAAAGUUAAAAAAAGAAAUUAUAAAAAUAAAAGUAAAGACUUAUAAAAUGUGUUGUAUGUAUUAUUCAGGUAAUCGAAUAAAAGACAAGGAUAUGAGUGGUUGUUUGUUUUCAAAAGGGGAAGAGUACACAAUUGUGACAGAUUUGUACAAACAUAACAUGUCAACAGGACAACACACAAUUAUGACAAUGCCAUAUGAAUGUAAAGUAAAAAAAAAUGGCAUCCUCCACAACAUUUUAACAGAUAACAAGAACCUAAUUGCUUUAUCCUUUGAUGAAUUUUUUUUUGAAUUUUUUAGUUUUCAAGAUUAUUUAAACAGUUACUUCAGUAAUGGUAAUGUGUUUUUUUUGUAUGAUGAUAACCCAAAAACAAAUGAACUUAAAAAGGAAGAUAUUAAUCAUAAACAAAUCGCUACUUCUGUGGAAACAAUAAAAAAAGAUACAAGUUUUGAAGAAGAUAAAAAAGAACAAAUGAAUAAUAAAAAUGAUGGCUUAAGUAACCAAAUGGGAGUUGACAAUGUGUCAUGUUCAAACGAGUCUUUGGACUGUAUAAACCUAAAUUUAUUUGAAUUGGAUUUUCUUUUUGAUUUUAAACACAAUUUUUUUAAUUUAAAUAAUUCGUACAACAUUUUUGAUAAUGAUGAAGAAAAAAAGAAUUAUGAAUUGAAUUCAUUUUUUAUUAAAGAAAAAUGUCAAUUUUUGUUAAAAAAAAAAAAAAAAAAAAAAAAAAUAUUUUUCGACUUAAAUGAUUUAGAAAAGGGUAUAAGUGAAUUUAAUAAUGCAGUAAAUUCAUGUAUGUAUGAAUGUUUCGAAUGUUUUGAAAAAAAGUCUAAUUCGUUUUUAAAAACUAAUUGUAAUAUUAUAAGUACCACAGAUGUACAUUCUUUAUUUGAUAAGUUAUGUGUAUAUUUUCAUAAUAACAUAUUAAAAAAUAUACCAUUAUAUGAAUGUACAUAUAUGAUCAAUAAUUUAAUAAAUAAAAUCUUAGUUUAUUUAAUAGCUAUAUCAGCUUAUUACUUAAUUAAUGACAUGGAUUUAUUUAUAUUUAAAUAUUAUGAGUCCUUGGAAAAAAUUACUAAUGGUAGUAAUGUUAAGUCAUCUUUUUUAAAUUUUAAUUAUAAGUUAUGUUUUCUUUAUAAAAAAUCAGUGGAUAUUAAAAAUAAAAAAGAGCCAUAUCAGGAUAUCCCUUCUUACUUUGUGCCUAUAACCUUUGUGAUAUUGCAUGGCGGACGGACCAUAGUUGACAGUUUAAAUAUAAGCGAAGAAAAAUUCCUAAACCUAAUGAUAGACCAUUUAAAGAAUCCUAUAAAAAUAGGCGAUAAGAAGGGAGUUAGUAUGCAGGACUUAAAUUUUAUGCUUAACAAAUUUGUAAAAAAUGUGUCAUGUAAGAACGGAU
rnacentral:lncRNA from 1 species